rnacentral:rRNA from 1 species
UACGUAGGGGGCAAGCGUUGUCCGGAAUCAUUGGGCGUAAAGCGCGUGUAGGCGGCUCGAUAAGUCUGCUGUGAAAGUCCAGGGCUCAACCCUGGGAUGCCGGUGGAUACUGUCGAGCUCGAGUCCGGAAGAGGCGAGUGGAAUUCCUGGUGUAGCGGUGAAAUGCGCAGAUAUCAGGAGGAACACCAAUGGCGAAGGCAGCUCGCUGGAACGGUACUGACGCUGAGACGCGAAAGCGUGGGGAGCAAACAGG